rnacentral:rRNA from 1 species
ACGAACGCUGGCGGCUGCCUAAUACAUGCAAGUCGAACAGUGGCGAACGGGUGAGUAACGCGUGAGCAACCUGCCUAUGACAGUGGGAUAGCCUCGGGAAACCGGGAUUAAUACCGCAUAGUCAUAGAUGGGCUCGCUUCUGAUUAGCUAAUUGGUGAGAUAACAGCCCACCAAGGCGACGAUCAGUAGCCGGUCUGGUAGGAUGACAGGCCACAGUGGAACGUAGACACGGUCCAAACUCCUACGGGAGGCAGCAGUGGGGAAUAUUGCACAAUGGGGGAAACCCUGAUGCAGCGACGCCGCGUGAACGAAGAAGGUAUUCGAAUCGUAAAGUUCUGUCCUAUGGGAAGCAGUACCAUAGAAGAAAGCUCCGGCUAAAUACGUGCCAGCAGCCGCGGUAAUUC